UCCCUGAUAGCUCAGUUGGUAAAGAAUCUGCCUGCAAUGCAAGAGACCCUGGUUCAAUUCCUGGGUUGGGAA
rfam:TPA: Bos taurus chromosome 3, whole genome shotgun sequence.